ensembl:ncRNA D1022.15 ncRNA
GGGUGCAGCAGCAAAAAAACCCUCUCAUACUUUUCGCUAAGCUUCCGAGGAAUUAUUUAUGAGAAUUAUUUUAUAAGAGCAGUGGAAUAAAGAGGAAGAGAGGAGUUUUAGUAUGACCGGAAGUAAUUGAACUUUUCAAAGAGA